CCAAUGGAAAAUGCAGUGGCAUCUCAUCAAGAAUCACAGCCAGGAAGCUAGAGUCAGAAGAAAGGCUGAACUCCAACAAGUUUCUUCUUUUUCUCCUUCCACAAUCCAGUAAGCCCAUUCUCUAAUAGUUGUUUUAUUUUUUGUCUUGGUAAUUGGCAAAAGGAACAAAAAGACCUUUGGUGACUUGUUUUUUUUCUUGAAGAAUAUAACUUCACAUUAUAUCAGAGGUCUCUAGCUUUGUGAACCCUACCAAAAGUGGAUCAUGCCUCUAGGUGAAGAAAUACUAAAGAUCAUCACCUGCUAGAGAAAAGCACAAAAGAAGCUUAAGAGGGAACAAAGAAAAAUUAGAAGUCAAGGUAGUAUUGGUGACUAAAGAGAGAGACCUCCUUGGGAAACGGAAGAUCCUUUAGAGUCCAGAGUACUUCUUGAAGAAGCAGAAGUUGAUUGCUGUUAACACCAGUGUUACAUGGAGAAGACUCAGCUACUCCCUCUCCUAACCAUUGCCAUUUCCAUGGUGACCGCUGGUGCCAGUUAAUGGGUUCUUCUCAUCCAUAUUUCUUUCUACUACACGAUUUAUUUUACAACUUCUGUAUUAGUUUCCUAUUGCUCCUGUAACAAAGUGUCACACAUUUAGUGACCUAAAACAAAUUCAUUCUCAUAGUUCUGGAGAUCAGAAAUAGAAAAUCAGUCUUAUCAGUCUUAGUGGGAUAGAAUCAAGGUAUCACUUAGCUCCUUCUGGAGGAUUUGAGGGGAGAAUCUAUUUCCUUGACUUCUCAGCUUCUAGUGGCUGCAUGUAUUUCUUCCAUUCUCAAAGCAUGUCACUAAUUUCUGCUGCUAUCAUUACAUUGCCUUCUCUCUGACUCUGACUUCUGAAUCCUUCUUAUAAGGACCAUUGUGAUAACAGCAGGCUCACCUGGAUUAUCCAGAAUAAUUUCCCCAUCUUAAUAUCUUAACUUCAUCACAUCUACAAAGUCCCAUUGCCAUUAAGAUAUUUGUAGGUUCUAGGGAUUAGGAUGUGGACAUCUUUGGGGGCAUUAUGCUACCAAAUAACCAUAUAACCUACCAUAUAACCUACCGAGGUUUUCAAAGCCUAAUGUCCUCCACUCAUUGCCUUCAUUCUCGGUAGCACUCAGUUUCUGCUCUGUUCACUUGUCCAUCUCCAUCUAUGUGUGUUUUCAAACUUCCACCCUAAAAAUGUCUGGUUGCCAUUGAACAAAAAGUUCUCUUUUUGGUCAGAUCUUAUGUGUUAGGCUGUCCUGUAAGUUGAUAGCCACAAUAGAUGGCUGCUGUUGAAUCAUAUGCUAACAUCUAACUAAAUGAUGCAAAGAUAGUGUGAUCAUGGGGUUCACAGCAAUGUAAUUCAUGGGUAAGAAAAAUUUUGCAGCUGUGUGGUGAACUGCAUUAGUGGCUCUAAUUCUUUCCCCUUCCCCGUAUCUGUGCUGUUUGCCAUGAAACUUCGCAUUCUUCCUGCUGAAGAGGCAGCGUAUAUUUUCUCAUCCUUUGAUUUGGGGCCUGGCCAUGUGAAUUAUUUUAGCCAGUAGAAUGAGGCAGAGUGUCUAUAUGCCAGUGCUCAGCCUAGGUCUAGAGGACUUGAAUUUUUUUUUUUUUUAAUUUUUGUACACUUCUGCCAUUGCUGCGGGAAGAACAGGCCCUGGCCAUCUUGCUGGACCAAGGAAAAGAAUGAGAGACAUGCCGAGUUUAAGUGCUGCAACUGGGUUACUUCCAUCAGCUCUUUCUAGAUCAGUGCAACUCUAUUUAAUUCACUGGUAAAUGAGCUAAGUAAAUGCCACUGACACUUAGAGGUUCUUUUUCACACAGCGAGAGCUAACUGAUACAGGCAGAGUUUUUCAAAAUCAGUCUGUAAAUGUGGAAGCUUUAAGCAGAAUGGGGUUGUGGGCAUGACAAGACUCAAAGUGCCACACACUUCCGUCCAGCAAAAAGAUGUUUUCCUUAAAGCCCAAGGCAGAAAGACUACAAACAACACAAAAGAUUGAUCAAUCAAAAAACUGCGAAAAGGAAGAACAUAUUUCCUUUGUAAGUACAUAAGCAAAAUUCUCAAUCCUGGGUGCUCUCCACUCUGAGUAUGGCUGAUAAAUCCAAUGUAAUGGUCUUAAACCAGGCAAGGGAAGGCGUCUCAGCUAUCUAGUGGGAGGGAAAAUCUGUUGGUAGUUGAGGCUUUCUCAUACCUUUUCAUAAUGUAAGCAGCACUCAUGGGGAGCUGUGGGAAAUGUAGGACAACAUAGACAUCUGCCAGUAUCGGGAAGUGCACAUGGAGUUUCAUGUAUGACAUGGGCCAAAACCCAGAAUGCAAGAGCAGGACUUCCUCUGGAGAAGCAUCUUGGCUUUAUGAAGUAGAAAUAUCUGAUUAAUUGUUAAAGUAGCCUGGAAAGAUUGAGGCCACACAGAAGCUUUUAAUAUCCACCACUUCUCAUGGUUCAGGGCAAGAAUGACCACCAUUAGUUAUGUUUAGAGCAUUUGUAACCAUGAUAGCCACUAUUGCUCCUUGCCUCUCACAUGCUAUUUGAUAAUUUGAGCUUGAUUUUAUUUAAAUAAUACUUUCUUUUGGUGCUCCAUGGUUAACAUGUUUUGAAGGAAAAGAGAGGAGUCAUAUAAAGCUUCCUAAUACGUAGACUGAAAUUUUCCCAGGUACACGAUAUGCUUCAAACCUGAAGACGUACGUGACACUGAAACAUGUAAGGAACAAUGUAUACCAUUUUCUCUAUUCUCUAAGUGUUUACCCUGCAGUUGAAAAGACAAAAUUCUUAUAUAUAAGAACAAUUACUAACUAUGGGAAAAUAUUAACCGGCUGAGGAACUUUCUGUAAAAGUCUUAUUCUAUAAAAUCUUUUAGGAAAAUAUUCAGCAUAAUAGAGGUAAAGUUGUUACAAUAGCAUUUAAUUUUUUCUUUCUAAAUUGAUAAAUAUGUUAGAAACAGUAAACUAUGUUAUAUCCUAGGAUAAACUAUACUAUUAAUUCUUUAAAAGCCUUUUAAUUUAUGAUACUUUCGUAAUCUGGUGAAAAAAUGAAGACUCUCAUAGAUCUUUGAGUCAGACAAUCAAAUAUUAUUAUUCUUAAUGUAUUACACUUUUAUGACCAUACAUGUAAUUUUAUUUGAAAAUGUUAAACUUAUGUUAAUGCAGAAAGGACUUCAUCCUUAAUAUGUUACUUCUGAAAAUUUUAGACUUUGAGAACCAAUUUUGGCGUUUAUGAAAUGGAUAAGUUUUCUUGGUUCUUUUUACAUUGUUAAUAUAUGUAGGAUAAUAUACCACUACAGAAAUGUCUUUUCUUCAGACUUAUAAAUAACAACAAAUACUACUAUAAUAACCACCUUGAAAUGAGUUUUUAAUUGGUUUGAUGACUAUAGUAGCAAUUCCCAAAAUAUGCUAGCUCUGUUUACUUUUAAUUUUAUUCAGCAUAUGGGCAUAGGAAAGCAUUAGCAUUUUCUGAUUCCAAGGACGAAUGUGUUUAAUGUUAAAAUAACUCAGAACAGUUUUAUGUUUUUCAUCAUAAAGUUCAAGCAAGAAAUAUAAAUACAGAAACUUGGGUCUGCUGCUGUUUUUCUAUAUAAAUUUGGUCAAGCUGUCAAGGAUAUGAUUAUAGAGAGCUUGUAGAUCAGCUCUUUGGGCUUCCUUUAAUCACCAGCUCAGCUGAACACAUGGUACAAUAUUAUUUUCCAUGAUAAACCAGUUAUUUGAAAACA